rnacentral:lncRNA from 1 species
ACUCGGGCACGUCGCUCGACAUGUUUGGUUCCCAUAUCUUGGGGACCCCUAGGGAGCGAGCAGCCGGGGUUCCGAGCGUCUGCGGACCCUACCCGGAGCUGCCUGUCGACUUGUGUUGGGUCAUUGCUGCAGGACGUCUUCAUUGGUUGAAAUUUGAAUCCGCCGUAUAGCAACGCCGAACCUGUGGUAUAUCAUGAUCCAACAUUUGUGUAUUUGUAAAGGUUUCCUAUUUGAGGAUAUCAAAGGUCAUUAGCAGAAGCUGGUGGAUAACGUUUUGUCAACUGUCAUCGGUUCGCCCAACACCGUAUCUGGGUAAAGGACCGUUCGGACGUGGUCGGAAUUCAAACACCAUCGUUGGACUGUACCGAAAAGAAAACCCAACUAAUUGAGUGAAUUUAGGUUUAUCGCUGCAACGACUUGAAAACCCUAGCGUUCACCUGGUCUGCAUCACAAUGAGCUAUGAUGAUAACUAAGAAAUGUAAAAUUCAGAAUUUUUCUUUGAAAUUCAAGCCAUGUUACAUUAGAUCAUGCAGGUAUCAAAAAUACAUGCCGUAGAGAGUAUUACGUAAGAUAGCUAAAGCUUGAAAUAUAAUAAAUGUUACAUCUCUAAGUGAAAUGUUUUUGAUUUACAGUAUUUGUCUGGUACUUUUUCAAGUUUCACCUAACAUAGGGGCUUUGCCCUUGCACCCCUCGCAGAAAUAUAAAAAAGUUAAUUU